GGUCGAUUGUUUGACUCAUCGGAGGUGUCCUGAGGUUUCCCGGGCUGCAGCAGACAAUCAGCACAUUGUCACCAGGGCUGCAUCAUGGAGCAGGGGAGCUGCCGGGCCGAGAGACCCGGGUCUGGACCUGUCGGGGCCCCACUGACUGCAAUGUGCCUCCACGUGAAGACCAAGCCCUGCCACGGGGGCUGGAGAGCUCCUGGCCUCCUGCUGCUGCUGGCACUGGCCACCGCUGGGGCUGUGGCUGGAGGGCUUCUUGGCUUCGCUCACAGCCCUCUCAAGCCACUGCUGCAGACGCUCCGUCUGACCCUCCCGAGCCCCAGGGUACCCUGGUCCAACCAAACCGAACAGGUGGACGUGGCCCAGAACGUGGCAACCAUCAGGGUGACUCCAGCUCAGAGCAACCGCAGCUGGGCAGUGCUGUUCGACGGGCAGAGCGGUUGUGUCUGUUACCGCCCCUCAGAGCACCGGGCCUGCUUCCUCCGCCUGAUGGAACCCCGAGACCGCGAGACCCUGCAGCUGCUGGUGAACACCUCUUGGGUAAGGAGCCUCCAGCCAGGGGCCAGACAAAGGGUCCUGUGUGUGGUCUGGGCCCGGGGCAGGAUGGGGCUCCAGUUUCAGGGGAACAGAAGCUCUAUCUUCCUUUGGUUGAGGCUGCCGACAAGAGCCAGGGCAGGGCUGGCACAAUGCCAGCAUGUCCAGGGACAUGUGGGCCCAACCCAGCCAGGGGCAGUGCGAGUGUCCUUCUCUGCAGCCCCAAGGGACUCGCAGCCCCAGCCAGGACACCCACUAUGCCCAGGAGCUGCUGGCAGUGCUUGGGAGCCGUGAGGUGGACCCUGCCCAGGUGGGGGCUUCUGUGCGGAACCUUUGUGCAAAGACCCCCAUUUACUGGGCCCGACGAGCAGAGAGGCCCCAGAGGCAGCGGCUGAUCUACCUAUGCAUCGACAUCUGCUUCCCAAGCAACAUCUGCAUGUCCGUCUGCUUUUAUUACCUCCCGGACUAAGCCCUUGCAGCGCAGCCCCUCAGGCCAGCCAGCUGGCUGGCGCGAUCACCAGUCCAUGGAGG